CUGACGGAACUCUUCGGAGGGAAGGCAGUGGAAUGAGCGGCGGACGGGUGAGUAACACGUAAGGAACCUGCCUCAAGGAUUGGGAUAACUCCGAGAAAUCGGAGCUAAUACCGGAUAGUUCAUCGGACCGCAUGGUCCGCUGAUGAAAGGCGCUCCGGCGUCACCUUGAGAUGGCCUUGCGGUGCAUUAGCUAGUUGGUGGGGUAACGGCCCACCAAGGCGACGAUGCAUAGCCGACCUGAGAGGGUGAUCGGCCACACUGGGACUGAGACACGGCCCAGACUCCUACGGGAGGCAGCAGUAGGGAAUCUUCCACAAUGGACGAAAGUCUGAUGGAGCAACGCCGCGUGAGUGAUGAAGGUUUUCGGAUCGUAAAACUCUGUUGUAAGGGAAGAACACGUACGAGAGGGAAUGCUCGUACCUUGACGGUACCUUACGAGAAAGCCACGGCUAACUACGUGCCAGCAGCCGCGGUAAUACGUAGGUGGCAAGCGUUGUCCGGAAUUAUUGGGCGUAAAGCGCGCGCAGGCGGCCUUUUAAGUCUGAUGUGAAAGCCCCCGGCUCAACCGGGGAGGGCCAUUGGAAACUGGAAGGCUUGAGUACAGAAGAGAAGAGUGGAAUUCCACGUGUAGCGGUGAAAUGCGUAGAGAUGUGGAGGAACACCAGUGGCGAAGGCGACUCUUUGGUCUGUAACUGACGCUGAGGCGCGAA
rnacentral:rRNA from 1 species